rnacentral:lncRNA from 1 species
AGAGAACAGAAAUAGAGAUUUGGGUGGCUUUAGCUGUUUAAAAUAAGGUGACCAAACCUCCUUUCUGCCUGUUCCUGCUAUUUCAAACACCACUGUUCUCCACACAAUGAAAAUGGCCUUGUUCCUUAAGCCAAAGAUAGCUGAACUUUUGUUUGACAUUUUACACGGUGUCUUAUACCUGCCUGAAAGAAGGGGUGCAGGUCUUCACAGAAUGAGGAAAGGCCAGAGAUUUGGACUCCAAAGACCACAGCUUGGAUUCUAAGCUGUCACUUACCAGCCAAAAGGGAAUCUUGGCCCAGUCACUGAAGCCCCCUGAGUCUCAACUACCUCAUCUGUAAAGGGUCUCAUCAGGCCCACAUUAGAUUAUCUACUCGACCAUCAGUUCAAGCUCUAAGGUAAUGUGUCAUUGUUCAUGUUAUUACCAACUUGAGAGAAAAAGAAAAGCAAAACUUGGUGGUUCAGAGAAGACCAUUUAUCUGGAUUUUCUCUGUUAUAGAAAGGUCAAAAUCACCCAUCCUUCCUAAUCUUGGUCCUUUGAUUUAUGUCUGAUUGAGGGAAGAGGUGGUCCCAGCACCCGGGGUGGGAAGAGCUUGCAGGGGGACCCAGGGGGACUUAGCUGCAGGAGGGGGUUAGCUGACACUCAGGGCCAUCAUUCGGAACAGCUGAAUUGUCCUC